CUUGCACAUCAGAGCCCCAGAAGAGAAGAACCUCACAGCCCACCCAGAGAUGAGAUGAGAUAUGCACAGAGCAGAGGGGACCCGGUCUUCCCCGCCUUCACCUUGUGCCCCGUUCCCCAGCCACACCACAAAGGCAAUGUUACAGAAACAGACUUGUUCUCCUCCACGAGGCCCACAGAAACAGUGCACAGCCUGAGGGACUUUCUGGGAGCACCACAGAGGGAUGCAGCACAGCCCUGGGGGAGAAGAUGGCAGAGAGACCAGGACAGAAACCAAACUUGUGCCGAACACAAUGCUUAGUGCAUAAAAAUUAAUCAAGUUCUACGAUGACUUGCUUUAUUCAUAAUACUUAAUGGUCAUGUAAUAGGAGUUUUUAUUCUGCAGUUAAAGUUCAUAAGUGCAGGUUUUACAUGUAGAAAGGUAUUAUGCUGAUAGUUUAAUUACACACCUUUCUGCACACCAAAGGAAAUGGGUUAUGCGGGUUCUGUAAUUAAAGAAAGACUUCAGAGGGGAAAUGAACUUUGCAGUUAGCAGCGUAGUAUUUGAUUUUUAUCAGGUGUUUUUGUUUUGAGUUUGCCAGCGCUCACUGUGUGGUAAACAGGUGAGAACACCCUGAACAGCACGAGGUGCCAGGGAGAAGCUGCAAGCGUGCAGCAGAGCAGCAGUAUUUAAUAGAAUGGGUGAGCACGAGGCACCAGCUCCACGGGUUGCAAGGCGCUCCAGAGCUCUGUCUGUGCAAUUCUAUACAGUACAAGUCUGUCCAGCUUGUCUAGGAAUCAGGAAAAAAAAACGGAGCACUUAAUUAAAACUAAACCCUACUACUCGCCAGGGUAAUAAAAAGCUCUACUUUUUAUUUUUCUUAUUUUUGUUUGCAAUAGAUGUCAUGGGCAGUGAACACAGUUUUCCCUUCCUGCAUGCCUACAAAGGUAACAAAGCCAAAAAUGUGAUGGAGAAGCAUGCGUGUUUGCUAUUUGAGUACAUAGGGGCCACUCACAGCAUUCGAGCAGCUACUUCUCCCACAAAGGGCGACCACAUGUGAAGAGCGAGAUUCCCAGUAAGUAUCUGGUAAACAUUUGGAAAUGAGAGACAAAUAGCGCUGUGCAAUUGCACCAUCGUACUUCAAAUACCCACUUGAAAAAAAAAGAAGGAUCCAUUCCGCAACACGCCAAGCCUGGCUCCCGAAACCGGGAGGAAUCGCAACGCCGGCAGAGAAUCUCCCUGUUGAAUAAGAUUGGAAGAAAGGCUGUUUUGGAUUAAACACCCCAAACAACGCUGCUGACUGCUCCUAGCUCACGUGCUUCGCAGCUGCCUGAUGGAGCUGAUAAAUGGGGCAGAAGACCUCUACCAGGCCUCAACUCUGGAAGAUGGGGACAAAGAGUUAAAGGGUGAGCAAGGACACGUGAAUGGCCCGAAGGGGACGUCACCGGUCAACGAUGAGGAUGUUGGCCAUGAGGCAGCUGGCAGUUGUCACCACCACCAUGGUGGCAGUAGGGUAAAGGGCAUUGCUCACUGGCUCUACAAGGAAUUUGAGCAAUGACCCAAUUAACUCACCAUUAAACCAAUGUUUAACAUCAUCACUGAAGCUGCAGCCUGAUUACUAGGUUAAAAGGGCUAAUUAGAGCUUCUUGUGAUGCAGGGCGCGCCUUUGCGGAGUGAACAGCACCAACAGUUGGUCGUUCCUUCCAUUAGGCCACUCCUGUGAAACCUGCUGUCCUCUGUGAUCACAGCCCAGGUCAGACGGCAUUACACAGCUCAUUGGCAGCUGUGUGCACAAAGCACAGCGAGCAUCACGCUGUGCUGGGCCUCCAGGUCCUGUGCUAGGCCACAGCUGUCUUCUGCUCUGCUCACUGGCACAGAAGAAGCCCAGAGAAGCUGUGCACUGCCCUUCAGUUUUCCUAGGAAGUGGCUCAGAGAUGCAUCACCUCAACACGGACCGUGAAAGUGCUUUUCAGCUUUGGGGGACAACAGCAUUUGGGACUGGGAAAGGUAAAGCCACAGAAAGUCAGCAGAUGACAGAUGUUGGGCUCAACGUGCAGUGGACACACCAAUGCAGAGAUGACCAGGGACGUGAAGAAGAGGAGUCAUCUAGGAUACCUUCAGAGCUCACAAGCCGUCUGAAUCCCUUCCUGGUCUGUGCAAAGCCAGGGUGACCCCUAUGGGGACAAGCUGCCCUCAUCCAAGGGGCUGAGAGCCCCCCACACUUCAUUCCGGGCCAUGUUCCUCUACCUGGAGCUGACCCCACCACCCGUGCUUAAGAGACACAGAGCGCUCCUGCCAAAAUAAACACUCUUCUGCCAGUGACGUAGGAACAUUUUGUUAACUACAGAAGUGAGACCUCUCCCAUGUACUAAAACUUCACUAAUGAUAGAAGAGCAAUACGUGACCGAACUCAAAUUCUAUCCUCUGCAUUUUUUUGUUAGCAAAAUCCACCCUUCAAUACCAUUUUGAGACACGCUGUAAUGAGUGUGCAAGAUUU